rnacentral:rRNA from 1 species
ACUCAAAUGAAUUGACGGGGACCUGCACAAGCGGUGGAGCAUGUGGUUUAAUUCGAUGGUAAGCGAGGAACCUUACCAAGGCUUGACAUGUACCUGCAUACGUUAGAAAUAGCGUAGCCUUCGAGGGUGGUACACAGAUGUUGCACGGUUGUCGUCAGCUCGUGCCGUGAGGUGUUCACUUAAGUGUGAAAACGAGCGCAACCCCUAUCAUCAGUUACAAGUGUCUGAUGAAACUGCCGGCGUCUAAGCCGGAGGAAGGCGGGGAUGACGUCAAAUCAGCGUGACUCUUACGCCUUGGGCGACACACGUGCUACAAUGGGUAGCAACAAAAGGACGCCAAAGAGCAAUCUGGAGCAAAUCCUUUAAAUCUACUCCCAGUUCGGAUUGAGGGCUGCAACUCGCCCUCAUGAAGCCGGAAUCGCUAGUAACCGUAUAUCAGCCUCGAUACGGUGAAUACGUUCUCAGGUUUUGUACACACCGCCCGU